rnacentral:rRNA from 1 species
UACGUAGGGGGCUAGCGUUGUCCGGAAUCAUUGGGCGUAAAGAGCGCGUAGGCGGCCCGGUAAGUCCGCUGUAAAAGUCACAGGCUCAACCUGUGAAUGUCAGUGGAUACUGCCGGGCUAGAGUCCGGAAGAGGCGAGUGGAAUUCCUGGUGUAGCGGUGGAAUGCGCAGAUAUCAGGAGGAACACCAAUUGCGAAGGCAGCUCGCUGGGACGUUACUGACGCUGAGACGCGAAAGCGUGGGGAGCAAACAGG